rnacentral:rRNA from 1 species
UACGAAGGGUGCAAGCGUUAAUCGGAAUUACUGGGCGUAAAGCGUGCGUAGGCGGUGACUUAAGUCUGUUGUGAAAUCCCCGGGCUCAACCUGGGAAUGGCAAUGGAUACUGGGUCGCUAGAGUGUGAUAGAGGAUGGUGGAAUUCCCGGUGUAGCGGUGAAAUGCGUAGAGAUCGGGAGGAACACCUGUGGUGUAGACGGCUUCUGGACCAUAACUGACGCUGAGACACGAAAGCGUGGGUAGCAAACAGG